rnacentral:lncRNA from 1 species
UUCACUUGAAAGUACAAUGAUGUGAUAGAAUGAAAAGAAAGUACAACACUAUAAUAUACAAAUAAAAGAAAGUAUGUUUUUUUUUUUUUAAAUUGUUUUUUGAAUUGGCGAAAGGUAAGGAAAAGAUGGACUAUACUUAUGCACCUGGAAGGAAUCAUUUGUUUGUUCCGGGACCCGUGAACAUCCCGGAUCAAGUACUUCGUGCAAUGAACCGAAACAAUGAAGACUANACUUGAAAGUACAAUGAUGUGAUAGAAUGAAAAGAAAGUACAACACUAUAAUAUACAAAUAAAAGAAAGUUGUUUUUUUUUUUUUAAAUUGUUUUUUGAAUUGGCGAAAGGUAAGGAAAAGAUGGACUAUACUUAUGCACCUGGAAGGAAUCAUUUGUUUGUUCCGGGACCCGUGAACAUCCCGGAUCAAGUACUUCGUGCAAUGAACCGAAACAAUGAAGACUAUCGGUCUCCAGCAGUUCCCGCUUUGACUAAAAUUUUACUUGAAGAUGUGAAGAAGAUUUUCAAAACCACUUCGGGGACCCCUUUUCUCAUCCCAACUACAGGUAUAUUAUUUUCUUUUCUCUAGGGUUAAAUAUCAACAUAUAGUUACUUAUUGCAAUAUUUUGGGUUAGGUACGGGUGCAUGGGAAAGUGCACUUACAAACACCUUGUCUCCUGGAGACCGAAUUGUGUCAUUUGUGAUUGGACAAUUCAGUUUGCUUUGGGUGGAUCAACAGCAACGACUUGGGUUCAAUGUUGAUGUGGUGGAAAGUGAAUGGGGUGCGGGUGCUAACUUGGAAGUUUUAGCAUCAAAACUGGCUGCAGAUACUGCGCAUACUAUUAAGGCUGUCUGCAUUGUUCACAAUGAGACUGCCACCGGAGUUACAAACAACUUGGCUUCCGUAAGGAAAAUACUUGGUAAAAUCAUUUUGCUUUUUUUAGUUUUUUAUCGCAUCAUAUUCAUAUUAUUACAUCCAUCUAAACUCGCCUUCUUAAUUAUUUUGUUUUAAGCGACUUAAUAUGGUAAGUUAAGUGAAAGAGAUGUUCCCUUAUUUUCUAUCUUUUGUUAUUGGUCAACCUCUAACAUUAGUAUGGUAAAAUCCAGGAAAAUAUAAUUUACUUUGUCAGUUCCUGUUUAACAACUUUAUCGAUUUAAUCAUUUAACUGUUUUCUAUAGUAAAUAAACGAUUAUACUUUUUUACUGUCAUUGUUUUUAUUAUUGUCAUUAGGAUGAAAUAAUAUUAUCUCUAGAAACAAGUGGUUUAAAUUUUAAAAGUCCUUUUUCUUGUACUUUGUAACUUUUACUAGCUCCUUGAUAGUUGUUUUUCAAUAAAUUUGGGUGGCUGUUUAAAAUAAAAAUUACAAUUUAUAACAAUCAAUAAUAAUAAUGUUUUUUAAUUUUGAAUGGUAACGUAUAAUGGUUUAUUUACUACAUAUAAAAUAGUUAACUUCUUAAUCAUAAAAUUAUGACAGUAGGUAAUGAUUUUGUAUAUUAUACAUUUAUUUAUACUGAUACCAAAAUUUGGUAACAAGGAAAAAUAGUAAUAAUUUAGAAUAGUCAAAAAAAUAUGUAAUGAUUUAAUCACACUUGAGAAAACAGUCAACUGAUGCAAUCGACAGAUGGUAAUUAAGUACGCUGUGAUUUUUUGUAUACAUUACCGGUAUAAAAAUAAAAACGGGUUUUAAACGGUAAAAAGUGUAUGAUCACCACAGAUUAAUCGAUAAAUGGUUAAUUAAAAUACAUUGUCCUUUUCUUAAUUUUUGUGUAUUAAAAUAGUAUUUUGUUGGGUAAGUAAUAAGUUUUGUAAAUUUGGUAAUAUAUAUGUUAGAUCACUACCAGCACCCGGCCCUGUUUCUAGUUGAUGGGGUGUCAUCAAUAUGCGCUUUGGAUUUCCGCAUGGAUGAAUGGGGUGUAGAUGUGGCUUUAACCGGUUCUCAGAAAGCACUUUCCCUUCCCACCGGUAUGGGAAUCGUGUGUGCGAGCCCUAAAGCCAUCGAGGCCUCUCAAACUGCAAAAUCACUUCGAGUUUUCUUUGACUGGAAAGAUUACUUGAAAUUCUACAAAAUGGGGACUUAUUGGCCCUACACUCCUUCCAUUCAGCUUCUCUAUGGCCUAAAAGCUGCCCUUGAUCUCAUCUUUGAAGAAGGCUUGGAUAAUGUUAUUGCAAGGCACAAUCGUCUUGGCACUGCCACAAGGUAUAUAAAUUAUUUACAUUAAUAUCAACAAACUUAACUUUCUAUUUACUUUAUAGUUUAUACUACUAAUAAAUAAAUAUGUAUGUGUAAUGAAGGCUGGCUGUUGAAGCAUGGGGGUUGAAAAACUGCACCCAAAAGGAGGAAUGGUUCAGUGACACAGUCACAGCUGUGGUUGUUCCUCCAUAUAUUGAUAGCUCUGAAAUUGUUAGAAGGGGAUGGAAAAGAUACAACUUAAGCUUGGGUCUUGGCCUUAACAAAGUAGCUGGAAAAGUCUUCAGAAUAGGACAUCUUGGCCAUGUUAAUGACGUAAGCAUACAUACAUACAUACAUGCAUAUGUCUAUCGAUGUUACAAAAUUAAGAAUUAAUAAAUGAAUGUGUGUGUAGUUGCAACUGCUGGGGUGUCUUGCGGGGGUGGAGAUGGUGCUCAAGGAUGUGGGAUACCCGGUGAAGCUGGGGAGUGGAGUGGCUGCUGCUUGUGCAUAUCUACAGAACAACAUUCCCAUGAUUCCAUCAAGGAUUUGAAUUCUGUCAGUGUCACUGUCAGUGUCAAUUGUGUUUAUGUAUGUAACUACUGCAUGCUACUCCUCUUCUUCAAUGUUGAUUUGCUUCAAAUUAAUACCUUUGUAAAGAACACUUAAAUAUCCUACUUUACUUCAAUCAUCUUCAUUUGUAAAUUCUUGUUUUCUCAUUACAUCCAUGAAUAUGCCUUUGAGUUGAAAAAUUAUGUGUGACCAAAUUCAAAUCUAUAUCAACUACCAUCACCCACACAAUAUUAAAUGUGAGCUUGUUGCUUGUUAGUACAAGAGGUUUUGACAAUUGACCCACUAUGGAAGUGAGACUUGAGAGUUGAGAGCCUACUCAUAUAGAAAAUCGAUGGGCUUAGUUAGAAAAGCUCUUUGCUAUUAUCAAUAUAAAUCUAUUGGUUUGCAAAAUUAGGGCGAUUAGUAAACGAUUAUAGUGGGAUGAUCAUAAUUAAGAACAACAUGACACCUUACUAUUUGGACUGAAAGUGUUGUGAAUCUCAUGAUUAAUUGGGUCUCAUGAUUAACAUGGUCGAUGCAUUACAACCAAAUCCCCUCAAGAAUCCUAGUGCCAACCUAUUUAAGUGGAGUCUUUCCUCACUUUAAGGGGGUUGAGAGGCAUUGAUAUUCAUACUUUAAGGUUUAGCAAUCCAUUCUUUGCACUUUAUUGGUUGGAUGUUGAUUCUUGCAUGUGUCUAUUAGAUGGAAGCUACUUUGGUUCCUAUACCAUACAUGGAGUUCAACACUACAUCAUCCAAAGUACACCUCAAUCUAAGUUUUACUAUAAAACACAAUAUGGUAGUGAUUGUUGCUUAAAUACUCUCAAGGAUUAUUGAUAAGAACACUUUUGAGGACAUAAUCAAAUGUAGCUUAAUGCUUGCAAUUAAUCGAAAGAAAGCCUGAAAUUCGAGACUCAAGAGGAUCUCCAAAAACGAAAAUAAGGUUCUAAAUCUUCUACCACCGAGAGGUCGGCUCCCUCUCUACUUAGUCUAACGCUAGCUGAAAAUUAGGAAGCAAAUACUUCAAAUGAAAGCAUAAUCCAAAAAGAUACAUAUCAAAAUUAACUAAUGAUGUUUUUUUUAGCAAAAUAACUAAUCGCCCCUUUGCAAUUUCUUUCCACGCCUCUGAUAAGCUUUGGCGACCCAGCCCAUUCAUAUCAACCCCCCCUCUUUAUGAAAAAUCACCUGGAAAUCGGUGUUGAGUAUCCUCACGUUCCUCUCAUGUAGUUCAAAUGGAAGCUCGAUAAGCACUUGUUGUCACUAACCACGUUGGUGUCAAGAAAGAAAGGCACGAAUACUAAGGUGCUGUUUGGUUUUUUUUUUUUUUUUUUUUUUUUUUUUUUUUUUUAAAAAAAAACCUCUUCAGAUUUUUUAUUGCUACUGGACGCAACACACACCAAACACUUUUAAUCUCGUAGUUGUUUGUUUUUUAGAAGUCUUCAGAGUAAAAAAUCUCAGUGCGUGUUCUGUUUGGCGCAUCACUUGUAUUGCCUCUUUCAACCACUUUUUUUAUUUUUUAUUUUUUUUUUGCUGAAAUCUUUAUUAUAUGUUGCUGAAAUAUUCUUUUACAUUUUUUUUUCGUUUUUUUAUAUUAAAUAAUAAUAAUUUCUUGAUGAACAUUAUUAUUUUUUUUGCUAAAAUAUCUUUAUUUUUUUGUUGAAAUAUCAUUAUUUUGUUGAAAUAUCAUAAAUUAUUGCUAAAAUGUCAUACAUUAUUAAAUUUUCGGUAUUAACAAAACUAUUUUCGAUUUAUAAAAUCAAUUUAUUUUAAUUUUUAAUAUCUGCAGCAGCAUGUAGAUAUUAAAAAAACAAACACGUUUCUUAUUAUAAUAUGCAGCCGUUUGGUCCACCUCUUCUACUGUAGAGGGUAGCGGAGGUGGUCCACAGACUUCAUGAAUUUUUUAUUAAAAAAACAAACAACACCUAAAUAAGUUUUGGAAGGAUUUUAUUUUAUUUUAUUAAUUGGUCUUUAUGUGGCCAAUAUGCUAAUGCCAGUUUUAUAUGUUUACUAUACUAUGAACGUGUUCGACAAAAAUAGCUGGUAGCGUGUAACGAGUAGCGUUUGAUUUUGGAGAGUUUUGUUCAAAGCUUCUCCAUGUAGCUUUUGAUUUUGGAACAUUUUGUUUAAAGUAAAAACUAAACGCUCCUGUUGUUGCCGAACGAAGUUUGUUUUUUUGUUUAUUUUUUUUAUACAAGUGUUUUCUUAAAAACUAGAAGCCAGAAGCUCCUAAAUGCCACGUGCCGAACACGCCCAAGUAUUUCUUGAAGCCUAUGUUUGAAGGAGAGAUUUUUUUGAUAAAACUAUAAAAGUAAUAUUUGUUUGAGUAGAGUCGCUCUAUAUCAAAAUUGUCUCGUUGAUUGUCUUUUCUUUCCCGUUUGUAGUGUGUUUUUCAUUGUAGUUGCAUCACACCUUCUUGAGCUACGACACAUGGAAAACUGGGUGAAUGGAAGCGAUGGACGACAAUAAACUGAGUGGGCCAGGUUGGAAAACCUGGCGAGUACAUAGGGAUUUCAAUCCCACAAUGUGAUAAUAAUGUAUAUCUCAAACCUGCAAUCCAACUAUUAUCAUUAACCCAUAUAUCAUAUCUUUUAAAACAAUUUAUCCUAUCUCGUCGAUUCCCUCGUAUAAAUCCUAUACAACAAUCUUACAAGAUCUAUCCUAAAGGAUCAAUAUGAACAACAAUCUGACGACGCUGUUUUGGAAAUUCCCUGACAGCAAACGAGGAUCAAUAAGUACAUCAAAUGAGGGGAAUGGAAUAAGUUUCACCAUGAACCUCCGUUCGUAAAAACAACAAGACAAUUAAGUCAGGGGUGGUUAUCUAGAUUACUGUGCCUAGCAAUGGUAUGAGAUCAUGAGCUAUUUUACCCCAAAACUCACCCUAUCCAGCAAUACAACAUCAUAUAUACCUAGUAGUGGUCUAUUGCUGACACACUAUAUUAGGCAGUCUACGAAGUUCCCUCAAUUACUUCAUGAAAGGAAACUCUGACACAUGAAGCUCGUCUGAUCACUUCAUAAAAGAAACGAUGACUCCAAAGCUCUUCAAAAUAAAAAGUAUGGGUAAAUACUAAUAAAGUACUCCCGUACGCUCCCAUACCCAGACACACAAUAGUGUCAAAAAAGGACUUUGUACAUGAUAGUACUUCUGGCAUAUUAUAGUACCCUAUUAUGAGUAGGACUCGUACCCUAGAACAUAAUAAUACCCCAACACAAGCAGCACCUAAAACACAGAGUUUUGUAAAAAGAAUUGGUACAUAGAAAGUACUUUUGUACGUAGGACAUACUCCAUCGAUCAUCAAUCUCCUCGAACAGAGUUUAUACUCUCUAUUCCGAUCACACACAUACCGUUAAUAAGAUACUACCCAAUAUCCAAACUUAAUUGAACUAAGCAUCUCUUUUAAGUCUUAUUUCAUCACUAAGCAAGCCUACAAUGCUUAUAAUCAACUUUCAAUACUAACUCUGUUUCGGAAACACUAUCUAAAUUUAGUCUACUAUUUUAUACAGAGUAUUAAGUAUUAACAUACAUUUAUCUUCUCAUUUAUAAUACUUCUAUUAUUAGUAUCUUGUAAAUACAUCUCAACACAUAUAGAACCAUGCCUGGUUCGUAUAGCGUAUAUCAUCAAAUAUACAUAUAACACAAAUUUCCAGAUAAUAAUCAUAUAACUCACAUAUAAAAUUUCAACAUAUAUUUAAUACUUUUAUUAAUACUUGUAUUAAAAUCAUGUUCAUGAAAGGGACUAUGCACUCACUUGUUAAAUUGAUGACUCGAAAUUCAGACAACGAUUCGCUUCUAGCAAUUGCCUUUUUCUGUUGACGAAACCUAGUAUUAUUAUCACUAAGUUUUAGUCUAAGAUUGCGACUAAUUAGUAGUCUAGAUUCAUCAUUAACUCAAAGUAUACUUUCAUGAUCUAUCAAUUAAGGAACAACCAGGUAGGAUCAUAUCAGAGGUAGGGUCCAUUUGGUAUACGAAGUAUACUGUUUGGAAAUCCCACUUUAAACACCUUACUAAAUCACAACCUAGACAUCAUCCAUGUAAGUAGAUCAAUCAAUAUAACGACUUGGAAUCACUUAUAAAUCUUGUUUAUAGUUUCAUAAUAAUGAUAAUGAACUUAAACAUAAGUUAUACUUAAAGUAUGGUAGCCAUAACUCACUUACAAGGGGGUUUAGCAAAGAACUGGGCUUUGCGCGGACAGAACUUCUGAGGCGAAAGAUCUUCUUCUCAGGGCCUUCUGGCGCUCCGGGACUCGCUUCUAGAACCUAGUAGGUUAUAGGGAAAAAUUUGGAAGGGUUGGGGUGUUUGGGAGAGAAGGUUUGAGAAAGUGUGAAGAAAAAUGAGUGAUCCGCGCCUCUAUUAAUAGGCUGGGAAAUUGGGUUACGUGGGACGUAACUGAGAUGUACGUUGGGCGUAAUCGAUAUACAGGGGGUACCAAGCCCUACGCUGGGCGUACCGGCUCCAUGUAUAAGCAUCACAUGCGAAACCAUGGGGAGGAAGGUGUGACUGAGAUGGUGCCACGUGUCACCUUCGGAACUUAACCCCAAAAUUAAUUAUCUUCCAAAUUCUAUAACUUUCACAUACGAGCUCAAUUUUUGACAUUAUUUAUUUCCACGCGUAGGUAGCGAAGUGAUCUACAACUUUCGUUUAGACUCCAUUGGCUAAUUUUGACUUUAUUUUUAAAGUUAUAUUUUAACAGACUUAAACAGUUAAAGUCCGUUAAAAAUUCAUAACUUUGUCAUUCGACGUCCGUUUUCGAAUUUCUUUAUAUCGUUGAGCUCCUAUUAACGAGAUAUUCAAUUAUCAUUUAGGUUGUGUCGGCUAAUAAUCGAUCGAUCUGAAAUUCGAUUUUCGGGCUGUGAACUGCUUUGCUAAAUCUUAGAAAAAUCAUAACUUCCUCAAACAAAGUCAGAUUUGGAUGUUCUCUAUAUGCACACUCUCAGUUUAACAUAUACUAUGACUUUCGUUUAGAUCGCUAGGGCUAAAAAGUAUUUUUUCAAAAAUUUUCUUUUUACGAUACUCCGCGUCGUGCUGGUUUUGUCGCAAAACUUCGACGGGUCAUAACUUCUUCGUUUUAAGUCGGAUUUCAGCGUUCUUUAUAUGUAUGAAAUCCUUGUGACAUAUACUAUAACUUUGGUUCAGAUUAAUUACUCUAAAUAAUCUUCUAUCGAAAACUCAUUUAUAACGCUUAUUGUCUCUAAAUUGACUAGCCCGAAUCUGCAGGCGUUACAAAAAUAAACUCACAAAACACUGUCUCUAUCUGACACAUGAAAUGUUAUGUAAGCAAAGUACUUCCAGGAUAAUGAUCACAAAUAUAGACAAAACCAUGAAAUGGUGAUUAAGGGGUAUAAAAUGGGCUGAUUUGCUCAAGCGAUCCACGAACACAAAAAUUACACUAUACUUCACCGAUUUUUGUAACCCUUCAAUAAAAUCCAUACACAGAUCUUCCCAAAUCUAUUCUGGUAAUGCUAACGGUUGCAACAGACCCACCGACACCAAGUUUGAGUACUUGUUGCAUUGGCACACUGCACAUUCCAAGAUGAAUUUGGCCACAUCCUUCUGUAUUCCGACCUUAAAGAAUGCUUUCACGAGACGUUGAUAUGUUAUUUGCAUGCCAUCGUACCCCCCGGUCACCCCCAUUGGAAUUAUUGAAAUAAACGUACCACCUAUUUAGAUGUAUGCGAAAGUACUAAGUGAACCUUGUAGCGCACAUGCCCUCUUAGAAAUGACAUAGCCGACCAUAUAUUUGCUAGGGGUUUCUAUUUUUUUUGGAUAGUGGCCAAUUUUGGUUCGUUAAGAAAGUUGGAUAGAAGUUUACUCCCGUGGCUAAUCUCGGACAACGUGAGUUCCGCCAUGGAUACCCCCACCCCGUGCCUGGAUAACACGUGGCUACCCUGUUUUCUUUUCCCAAACGAUAUAUAAUCUUGAAUUCAAAUCUGGACAACUUUGAAAGGCACCAUUUAUGCUCGCCGAAUAUUGAUCGUUGCUCCAACAAAUACUUUAAGUUCUAUUGGUUGGUGGUAACCUUGAACCGACACCCAAGCAAAUAAGUCCGCCACUUUUGAACCGUUAUCACUAUUUUCAUCAACACUCGCUUAUGAACUGAAUUGAGUUGGGUGUGGGUUCCAAAGACCCGACUAAACCAAGCCACAAGUCUGUUUUAUUGCAUACGAGUUGGUCCUACACCAUAACCCGAGGCAUCCGUCCCGAUCGUGAAUGCUUUAGCAAAAUCUGGUAAAUUUAACACUGUUACCAACAUCAUUGCUUAUUGUGACUACCGAAAAGCUGGUGAUGCUUCGUCAUUCCAACUAAAUUUGUCUUUCUUGAGUAAGAUAGUCAACGGUUUGACGAUCCUUCCAUAACCUUACACAAAAUUUUGAUAAUAACCUAUUAGUUCUAAAAACCCACUCAACUUACCUAUUGUCUUGGGCAUAAGCCAUUCCAACAUAGUUAAAAUCUUGCUUGGUUCAGCUGCCAAUCCCUGCUUGUCACCACAUGCCAUAAAUAGUCAACUCGAUUGGAUCAGCUGCUAAUCCCUGCUAAUCCCCACAUGUCACAAAUAGUCAACCCGAUUUCGACCGAAUACACAUUUUUUCUAUUACAGAAUAGGCUCUCGGCCCUAAGACUUUCGAACACCAUCCUUAUGUGUUGCUGAUAAUCUUCCAUGGUUCUGUUGUAUACAAGAAUAUCGUCAAAGAAAACAAGCAGUAAUUUUCUGAGGUAAGGAAGAAAAAACUUAUUCAUGAAAGAUUGAAAUGUCAAAGGAAAUUGUAAUGCCCUUCAUGCGUUCGAAAUUCCUUCUUUGAUGUCUUCUUGUUUCAUGCGAAUGUGAUGGUACCCCGACUUGAGAUCCAACUUGCUAAAAAUCAUUGCUCCAUGUAGCUUGUCGAGCAACUCAUAAAUAAUGGGUCUAGGAUCAUGGAUUUGUUUAAGGAACGGUAAUCCAUGUAGAAAUGCCAACUCCUAUUUUUUUUACUAGUAGAGCCAUACUAGAGAAUGGGUUUGAGCUCAACCGAAUAACCCCCACGGUAAGUAUUUCUUCCAACAAACGCUCGAUUUUUUAUUUUGCAAUUGUAGGUAGCGCUACGGUCAGGUGUUGACAGGUUCGGUGCCCAUUUUCAAUGUAAUGGCAUGUUCGUGACCCUAAGGUGGCGGUAGCUCUGCUGGUAGCUGAAACACGUCAGUAAAUUCUAUCAUUAUUUCGUUAACUGUAGGGUGAACUUGAGAAUCGGUUUGAUCAAUGAAUUCUAGUUGGAGUACUGCUAUCAAAAAACCUUAACUACCCUGAGAUAAACCCAAAGUUCUAAAUAAAGAGAGUCGUGAGCUUGGUGGUGGGCUUGGUGGCAAGGUCAAAGUUAAGUCAUGGCAAGCCAUGACGUUUUUCAAGGCAUGAUUAUUUUAUAUACAUUAAAAAAGAUUAAUUAUAUAAUUAUUGAAUUUUAUCAAAUAUAUCAAGUUUUUAGAAGUGUUAUAUUAAUAUUUAAUAUAAAAAAGGUAACAAAAACUCAAUUAUUUUAGCCUCUAUCAGGAAAAACAAAAAAAUAAAAACCCAAAAAAAAAAAAACAUGCCCACCUUGAAAAGAAUGCGUGCCAUAACACGAUAAGGUACACCUUGACACGUUAUUUGGAUGCCACGAUAAACAAAACCGCCUUGGACAUUUUUGUAAUGACUACACCAUGCCUCGCGCCAUGGCACACCUUGAGGUCCACCAUGGCGCACUUUUUAGAGCCAUAGAUAAACCCCUUACCAAUGUCUGUAAGGACGUUUCUGACCGGUUCAAACCUGGUUUCCCUUGUAAAGUCACCUUGCGCCCCUUGUCCAUGAAUGUCACUGUUAAAUCACACUAGUUAACCCGAGUCUCUCUGAGGGUGCGAAGCCAUUUGAUACCCAAUAUAACAUCAAUACUACCCAAGUCUAGUGGAUAAAAACUGUGCACCAGUCGAAACCCAUGUAAGGUUAAUGUCACGCUCUUGAAACUUCCAACACUCUUGUCAAACCCUCUAUUACCCAAGAUAACACCAUUUUCUUGUGUCCCAUUUCCCAUUUAUGGUAAGCUCUAGCGGUUCAACCAACCGCAAUGAUACAAAAUUAUGUGUGGUACCGCUGUCAGUGAGCACAAUCACUUUGUGUUCACCGAUGAAUCCUCGUAAUUUCAUGGUAUGAGGUGUGGUGAACUUUUAUUAUCUUGAAGAUUUUCAAGGGAACGAUCCCGAUCAGUUUAUUAUUUUGAAGAUUUUCGUGAUUAUUGAAGAAAUUUUCAACUUUUGCAUCUGGAAUUUUUCCGGUUAGUUUUUACUGUUUUGUUGGUGAUGUUGCUUCCAAAAAUAAAGAUUUUGGUGUUAUUGUUUAUACAUUUGCUACUUUUUAUCUAAGUUCUUGAAGACAUUAUAUAUANNNNNNNNNNNNNNNNNNNNNNNNNNUAUAUAUAUAUAUAUAUAAUGAAGAAUAUGAAGUUAUUGUUGAAAAUAGAUUGUUUGAUAUGUUUAUCCCUUGGAAAAAGUUGUUUUGAAAAAGAAAUAAACCUAGUUUUAGGAUAUAGGAUUUAACAUUUUUACUAAGUUUAGAUGUUAAAGCUUUUUAUGGAGUGCAUAAGUUCUUAUAACUGAUGUGCAAAGCUUAGAAGCUAUCAUACGUUGAAUAAAGGAAAUUUAUGAAUGAGUAACAAUCGACAUUGUGCAUUAAUUGUCGUACAACGUAAGGAAUAAAUGCUAACACUCAUGCUUAGGGGUGUCAAAAAAACUCGAACCCGAUUAACUCGACCCGACCCUAACCCGAUUAAGGUAUUUAGGGUCGGGUUUUAUAGGGUCAAAAUUCUUAAUCGGGUUAUUCGGGUUAACCCGACAAACCCGAACUAUAGUUAGGGUCGGGUUUAGGGUUGAUUUUUUUUAUAAAAGUCGGGUUUCGGGUUAACCCGAUUAACCCGAAUAAAAAUACACUACAAUAUUUAUGUAUUUUAUUCCACCUCACAUCUUUUAUUUUUGUACAUUAUGUGGCCUAAAAAAGAGGAAAAUAAGAUGCAACACAAUUGUAGAACAAAAUAUUGAUUUGUACAAAUGGAAAUUAAUAUGUAGCAUAGUAAAAUAAUAUGCAAUGGUAGUUUAUCGUGGCCUAAAAUAAAAAAUACACAGUCACAAAUCAAAUGAAUAAUGCUUUUUAAUUGUAUAGUAUAAACAAGAAAAAUAAACCAUAUACACUCAUAGUCAUUUGGAUUUAACACAUCCUAAUUUAACCUUCUGAAAAUAAACAUUAUUAUAAAUAUGACACAAUAUUUUUGUCUUACAUUGUAACCCGAUUAACCCGACUAACUCGACCCUAUAAACCCGAAACCCGAAUAACCCGUACCUUAAUAGGGACGGGUUCUGGGUGAAAUUAUUUUUAUAAAAAACCCGACUAACCCGACCCGUUUAACCCGAAACCCAAUCGGGUUGACCCGAUUAACAGCCCUACUCAUGCCUACAUUUUUUUACCAGGUCACACCUCAACUUUUACUAGCUAUGAUUUUUACAUGCUUUUUCAGGAAAUAAUUAGUAAGUGGAUAUAAAGAUUCAUCAUCAUAGAACAUGCUGCAUCGUGUUGAAACUAUUAUGAAAUUAUAUUUUGAACAAUGUUGUUUUGGAAAAACUUGUACUUUGUUUCUUUUUAAGCUAUGGGUUGUGAGUUUGUGUACAUGCAACAUUUGUUUUUUAUCAAUUGGUGAUACCCACUUGGUUUCUCAACCAAAAGUAAAAAAACACCUUAUUACCCAACCAAGGCAGUUGCUUUUGACAUAACUCUUUUUUAUUUUGAUUAUUUUUUAUGUUUUUUUUUAUAUUCCAAUUACAGAUCCACACCCAUUCGAACAACUUUUUUUUAAGCUAAUUUUUUGUCUUUCUCGGAUUACCUACAAACCUCAUCCGACCAUCAUUUAUUUAUAUAGAUCAGACUCAAUCUCGGAUCCACAAGAUCCUACCCAUUCUGCUUGGAUUCUUUUUGCUCAUAUUCAUUGUACGAGAAAAAUCCAUUCAAAUUUUUUGGUUUUCUAUUUCGGAUCAAACUAUCCGAACCGACCCACUUCAUUUUGGAUUCACUUCUCUUUAUUGGAUUCACUUUUGCUAAUUUUGAAUGACACAUUUUUUUGUCCCAACAUUUUUUUAAAACCAAUUAAUUUCUUUCUUUUUAUUUUACCCAAUUAUUUCAUUAGAAACAAUUUUUCCUUUUAGCCCCAACCCAAUACCUUUUAGUCUCUAAUGCUCCAUCUGAGGUUAUCAUUAGACCAAAUUUUUUACAAACAAUUUUGUGUUAUGAAUUAUUAUUUAGUGAAUGACUAUUGGAUUCUCCAUAUUCCCCCAUUACUCUCCAUAAUUAGUGAACAUUAUAGCAAACAUUAUUAUGUGUUUUAUGAGUGUAGUUAUGCACCACUAUAAUGAGCAUUCAUAUCAUACAUCACCUUUCAUCUUCUUUGUCUAGUAUAAAUAGUGAAUAUUAUGUAUUAUAAAGUUUGAUGAUUUCAUCACAAGUAUUAGAAUAAAAGCUCUCUCUACUCUCAUGUCUUUCUUUACUCUAUAACUUAUCUUGUUAUUUGAUCAUAUUUUAUAACACGUUAUCAGCACGACUCUACCAUAGAGCUCUAACUCUUUAUCGCUCUCAUUAUUUUCAGGUAUGUAUUUUUUUAUAAGUUUACAUGUACAAUGCUUACAAAUUAUUUUCUGAAAUUUAUUAACUAACAAUUCUUGAGCAUACAAGUCUUUAUUUUGAUUAGUAUUUUCACUAUGAAAAACUAUGUUAUGCUAGAGAAAAUUUUCUCUACUUUCCAUGCCACCAACAUGCUCCUGCAGCAGCAAUAUCGUGAGAAAGAUUUAAAAAGAAUAUAUUAUGAAUUAAUCUCAUUUCUUCUUGUGGCUGAAUAAAACUAUGAACUAUUGAUGAAAAAUCAUCAACCAAUCCCAACCGGUUCUAGUGCAUUCCCUGAAGUGAAUGCAAUAUCAUAUAAUCAUAAUAGUCAUGGGUAUAAUCGAGGUCGUGGAGGUUAUUAUCAUAAAAAAUAACAAGAUUACAAGCAACCACCAGAAGUUGGAAAAUAGCAAAAAUCCACAUCCUAAUGAUAGACUAGGUUAAGGAAAAAAAAAAUUGAAAAUGUUUGUCAUUGAUGUGGAACGACCAUUCAUUGGUCUUGUACAUGCUGCUUACCAAAGCAUUUUGUUGAUCUUUAUCAAACUUCUCUAAAAUCUAAAGAAAAAUAAUAUAUCAAAUUUUUUUUAUUCAAAGUGAUAUUCAUGAAGAUCAACCUGAAAUGACACAUUUGGAUGUUGCCGAUUUUCUUGUCUACCCAGAAGGGACAAGUGGUGAUAUGGAUGGUGAUUGAAGAAUAUUGUGUAGUUUUGUUUCAUGACAUUUAUUAUGUUUUUAUGUCAUAUGUCGAAUGUUUCUUAUGUUUUAUUUAUUUAUUGAAAAGAAAUAUGAAUAUUCGCAAAAGAAAUAAGGAAGAUAUAUUUCUUGCAGACAAUGCAAUAACAUUCUGCUUACUUAUCAAUUAGAGAAGCAAAUGUUAAUAUAAUAACAGGUAAUACAAAAAUGAUUAAAAGCUCCAGAAGAGCAAAUAUAGUAUUACCAUAAGUGACAAUAAUUACAAUUGGUGAUGCAUUAUUUUUAUUAAAAUCACCAAGAAAAUUAUUAAGUUUUAAGGAUAAUCGGUCUAACAGAUAUCCUAUUGAAACAACUAAUGAUGGUAAUAAAAAUUAUCUCAAUAUUACAAAAAUGAUAUCGGAUAAGAAAAGUUUUUUGGAAAAAUUACAUGUAUUGUCCUCCGGAUUGUACUAUACAAAUAUUACAAUGAUUCAUGCUAUUGAAAAUAUUACAAUGAUUCAUGUUAUUGAAAAUAAAAACGGUAUGAUAUUACCUUCAUAGUUUGGCAUGACCGGUUGGGCCAUCCCGGAUCAAUUAUGGUAUAUAGAAUAAAUAAAACUUCAAGUGGUCAUUCCUUGAAAAACCAGAAGAUUUUUCAAGAUAAUGAAUUGUGUUGCAUGCUCUUAAGGAAAAUUAAUUUCCAGUCCAUCAUUGAACAAAGUUGGUUAUGAAAGUCUUAGUUUCUUACAAAGAAUUCAAGAGGAUAUAUAUGGACUAAUUCAUCCAACACUAUGUGGACCAUUUAGAUAUUUUAUGGUUUUAAUUGAUGAGUCAACUAGAUGGUCACAUGUGUGCUUGUUGUCUAGCUGUAAUUUGGUUUUUGCAAUAUUACUUGCAUAAAUAAUCAGCCCAAGGGCACAUUUCCACGAACCCAAUUAAGAUAAUUCGACUUGACAAUGUUGCAAAAUUUUCAUUGCAUGCUAUUAACGAUUAUUGCAUGUCAAUUGGAUUGAACAUCCUGUUACACACGUUCGUACACAAAAUGGUCUAAUUGAUUAAUUAAUCAAACACCAUUAAUUAAUUACAAGACCAUUACUAAUGCAUUAUAAACUUUCUAAUCAACAUAAGGGCAUGCAAUUUUACAUGCAACAUCACUUAUAUGCAUAAUGCCAAUUAGUUAUCAUGAGUUCUCCCCUAUUCAACUGGUUUGCGGUCAGGAACCAAAUAUUUACCAUCCAAGGAUGUUUGGAUGUACAAUUUAUGUACCCAUUUCUCCACCUCACUUCACAAAAAUGGGUCCUCGAGAAGAAUGAGAAUUUAUGUUGGUUAUGAAUCUCCAUCUAUAGUAAAAUAUUUAAAAUCAUCAACUAAAGAUUUAUUUACAGCUAUAUUUGAUGAUUAAUAUUUUGAUGAAUCAUAUUUUCCAACAUUAGGGGGAGAAAUAAAGAAGCUGGAAAAUAAAAUUUCUUGAAAGGAAUUAUCACUUUCAGUUUUAGAUCCUCGUUCAAGUCAAUGUGAACUUGAAAUAAAAAAGAUAAUUCCUUUACAAAAUGUAGCAAAUCAAUUGCCAGAAGCAUUUACUGACCCUAAGUGAGUAACAAAGUCUCAUGUACCAGUUAUACAUACUCCAGUUAGAAUUUAUAUCCUACAAGAAAAAAAAUACAACUACAAAUGAAUCUUAGGCACGCCUGAAGCAUGGAAGAUCAGUCGGUUCCAAAGAUAAAAAUCCUCGAAAAUGAAAUGGAGCAAAUACAAUUGAUGGUCCAAAAGAGAAAACAAAAUCUCUUGAAAAGAUUAAUGAAGCUCUAGAAGAGCCCAAUGACAUAACAAAAGAAUAUAAGGUACCUGGAAAAAAUGAAAAUGAUGAGAUCUCAAUAAAUUAUGUCAUCACAGAAAUAAGAUGGUACCAACAUAAGACAGAAGUCGACGAUAAUUUUUCAUAUUAUGUUCCGCGCGCGAUUAUAAAGAAAAUGAUGAUCUUGAACCUAAAUCUAUUGAGAAAUGUAUGAAUAGAAAAUAUUGGCCAAAAUGGAAAGAUGAAAUAAAUAAAGAGCUUAAUUGUCUUACCCAAUGAAAAGUUUUUGGGCCUGUAGUCUAUACACCAANUAGUGGGACACGAAUGAGUAUUUGUGGGCAAAAGAAACGAGAAAAAAUGAAGUUGUGAGAUAUAAAGCAAUACUUGUUGCACAAGGUUUUACCCAAAGGCCCGAAAUUGAUUAUGAAGAAACGUAUUCUCCUGUAGUUGAUGCAAUUACAUUCAGUUAUUUUAUAAGUUUAACAACAUAUGCAAAACUGAAGAUGUGUCUAAUGGAUGUAUUUUACCACUUAUUUAUAUGGUUCACUUGAAAAUGAUAUUUAUAUGAAAAUCCCAGAAGUGUUUAAGGUGCUAGAAGCACAAACUUCUCAUUCUCGUGAAGUAUAUUUGAUGAAAUUAAAUAAAUCUUUGUAUAGAUUGAAACAAUUUGGCCGUAUGUGCUUCAAUUGUUUUAGUACAUUUCGGUUGAAAAAGUGCUAUAAAAAUGAUCCAUUAAGCCCAUGUGUAUUCAUAAAAAGAUGCAGAUAAGAGUUUAUCAUAAUUGAUGCUAUUGUAGAUGAUUUGAACAUAAUUGGAACUCCUAGAGAAUUGGAAAAGGUCACUUCCUGUUUGAAAGAAAUUUUUGAAAUGAAUGAUCUUGGUAAGAUGAAAUUCUAUUUGGGUCUUCAAAUUAAGCACACAAAAAAUGGAGUUUUUGUACAUUAAUAUCUAGAAAAGGUGCUAAAAAUGUUUUAUAUGAAUAACUCACAUCCAUGAGUAACCCGAAGGUGGUAAGGCACUUAGAUGCCAAAAAGGAUCAAUUUCAGCAUCAUAAAAAACAUGAAAAUCUUCUUGUUCCAGAAGAACUAUAUCUUAGUGCUAUUGGUGCACUAAUAUAUCUUACUAUUAAUACAAGACCUGAUAAAUAUUUUGUCGUAAACUUAUUAGCAAGAUAUAGUUGUUGUCCAACAAGAAGAUACUGUAAUAAAGUCAAACACAUUCUUUGAUAUCUUUGAGGUACAAUGGAUAUGAAUUUAUACUAAUCAAAUUCUUAAAAUGCAAAGUUAAUUAGUUAUGUAUAUGCUAGAUAUUUAUCUGAUCCACACAAAAAAGUUAUUUAUUCACUUGUGGAGGUAACGUAAAUUCUUGUCAUUUUGUUAAACAAACUUUAGUUGCUGCUUAUUCUAACCAUGCGGAGAUUAUAGCAAUUUAUAAGAUAAUACAACUUGUAUAGCUCCAUUCAAGGAAGGAUUUAUAAAAGGAGACAGAACCAAGCAUAUAUCACCAAAGUUUUUUUCACUCAUGAUCUUCAAAAAGAGUGUGGCAUCAACAUCUAGAAAAUUCAAUCCUGUAACAACUUUCCUGAUUGGUUUACUAAAACACAUCCUACAUCGAAAUUGAAAAGAUGGUACGAAACAUUGUUAUGUGGUGCUUCAAGAGAAUCAAGUGAUGUGCUAAUCUGGGGGAGUUGGAAACAUAUUGUACUCUUUUCCUUAGCUAUGUUUUUCCCACUGGGUUUUCUUUGCAAGGUUUUUAACGAGGCAAUUGUUUCCAAUAUCUAUUAUUAAUCAUGUACUCUUUUUCCUUAAUAAAGGGUUUUUCCCAUGAGGUUUUACCGAUUAAGGUUUUAACGAGGCAUGAUACAAUCGUCAUUCAAGGGGGAGUGUUAUGAAUUAUUAUUUAGUGAAUGACUAUUGGAUUCUCCAUAUUCCCCCAUUACUCUCCAUAAUUAGUGAACAUUAUAGCAAACAUUAUUAUGUAUUUUAUGAGUGUAGUUAUGCACCACUAUAAUGAGCAUUCAUAUCAUACAUCACCUUUCAUCUUCUUUGUCUAGUAUAAAUAGUGAAUAUUAUGUAUUGUAAAGUUUGAUGAUUUCAUCACAAGUAUUAGAAUAAAAGCUCUCUCUACUCUCAUGUCUUUCUUUACUCUAUAACUUAUCUUGUUAUUUGAUCAUAUUUUAUAACAUUUUGUCUAUUAAAACCAUUUAUCCCUUCUUAUUUAAAACCAAUUAUUUUUUUAACACAAAUUUUAUCUCCAAGACUUUAUUCUUCUUGCCGAUUUCAAGUGAAGACACAAGUGUUUUAGAGAUUAUCAUUUUUUGUGUUCUUCCUUCUACCGAGCAACCCGUAUCUGCAACCACCGACUUAUGUUCUUCGAAUAUUCAGAUCCAUAUAUUUAAUCGGAAACUUUUUUGAUCAACAAUGUUCUUCAAAUAUUUUGAUCUUUUUAAGGUUUGCAUUUUAUUUCCUUUAGAAUGGUUAAAUAAGGUAUUUGACCACCUUCAGACCAAAAAAUUUUCGGAUCAGAGAUCAGUCUCUUCCGACCGAGAUUGACAAAUCAAUGGUCUUGCUUCGUAAAUUCGUGUUCGUAUUUCAUUUUAUUAGCAUUAUGAUUCUUCAACAUGGUUUAUUAGAUAUAUCUUUAGUAUUUGUUCAGUACAGCAAAACAUCACACAAUCUACUCAUGACUUGAAAAUAAUAUCCUCGUUUUUACAGGUAGAUGAUCACAUCAUGGGGGAGCGUCCAAUGCUCCAUCAUAUCCGACAUAUUUUCUUGCCCGAUUUCAUUAUUAUUUUUUAUCUUUAUUGCAUCCUCGAACAAAAAUAGGGGGAGAAUAAUGGGCAUCCACGUUUGAAAUUUUUAUUUGAGUUUGGAUUUUAGAGACAUUUGAAGAUGCAGAUUUAUCUAGUAAUGCGAUUUGGCACUGAUUUUUGGGUUUUAGAGAUCAAAUUUUUAGGCAUUACUAGAUGUUCUUUGGAUCAUGAUUAUUUAUAUCCAGACUCUAUUUUUUGGGAUGUCUCAUUUGUGUUAGCAUCCAAAUCAGGUUUUAUGAUUGUUCGAGUUUGGAUUUUCGAUAUUUUGAAGGCGGAGAUUAUUUUGGAGAUGCGACGCGACACUGAAUUGAUCAUUUUUUUAUCAGAAUUUUUGCAUUGCAAGACAUUUCUUCGGAUCCAUAUUAUUUAUUAUUCAUACUUUACUUAAGGAUGCUUUACACUUUCAACAAGUAUUUUUCAGAGAUUUUUGGUUCCUUAUGAUUUGGGAUCGGAAUUUGAGGCCUUUGUGUGAUUCGAUAUUGAGAUCUUUAGUUCAACAAUCAUAUGGCAGAUUGUGAACCUGAUCGGUUUUUGGGACUGGUCUAAUUUGAAGAUUGGGAUUUCAUAUUUGUGUUGAGAGUUGGUUCCUCUAAAUGUUCUUUGAUGUUAAAGAUUCCAUUGUCAGAUUCAGAGUUCGUAGUUGCUUCAUAAUUUUUGAGAUAUAUUAGCACCAGACCUGCCCGUCAGUUGUUCUUCCUUUUAUCAUUGAUUUUUACCCUCAUCAUUUUUGAGAAUUUAAGGGGAGAUUAUUGGAACAGGAAACACCUACAAUCAUGAGUGAUUUAUUAGGUUGGAAUAGUCUAUUGUAUGAAAUGCAUAUUCCAUCCACUACUAUAUAAAGUGGUGGUAUGUGGUCAUUUGAGGUGUGCACCAUGUAGACAUUAGAUUAGAGAGAGUAUUGCUGGAAUAUUCUUCCUAUCCAUGAGUGUUCUUAAUUGUAAUAUUUGAUAUCUCUCUAUCUAUACAUUGUUAGUUUACUUAAUUGUUUAUCAUGUUCUUACAAUUAUCUUCAUGAUUAUUAUUAUUAUGCAACAAAGCAAUCAUUAAACUGGUACAACAAUAUUUCUUUCCUUCUCCUAUUUUUCUGUCAAAGGCUUCAUGAAAUAAAUUUUAAUGUUACCAUUCUCUUCGUAUUGGAUACAUUUCCGGAGCACUCCCCAUACAUUAUUCAUUCAAAUAUCUUCUUCAAAGAUUAAAUAAUGAAUGCCUUCAAUAGUAAGAUCCAUAGUUCGAAAUGACUUUCUAACAACUGUUGUUGUUUCUGACCAACUCUCAAGAAGCAAAGAUAAUUACAGUAGUGCCCAAACUUCGUCUUUGAACCAUAUGUCAAAAAUUGCAAUCUUUAUAUUAUUAAGUUGAAUUUAUUCACAUGGUAUGUAAUAGGGCCAGAUUCCUUCAUCUUCGUAUUCAACAUACGUCUAUGAAAGAUCUUUAUGCUCAAGAAAUAUUAUAGGAUGAUAUUUGAUAGAUAAUAUAUGAUCCUAAAGGGUCACACUAGCAACAACUUGAGGUUAAUAUAUAUAUAUAUAUANUGAUGAAUAUUUAUGUUUCUUGUAUUUAAUUGGAAAAAUUGUUAUUAAUGGAAAUAAUAUUUUUUAAGAGAGAAAAACAACUAAUAACUCACAUAGUAUGAAUUAUAUGUUGCAUACAUCUUUUUGGACUUAUAGUAGGUUAUUUAUAUAGAUAUAGCUUAUAUAACAAUAUGAUGUAUAUUCUAGUUUAUGAAAAUGGAUUAUGAUUCACACCCCCUAUCACAUCCCUCCUCAUUGCCAUGAAUGAGCUUGGACGGGUGAAUUUGGAGUGUUGGGUUUUCUUAUUACAAGCCAUACAUGUCAUAUGAUAUCAUACCUUCUUUGAAUACUAGCAUUGACUUUGGUAUAUAAUUGUAUGUAUAAAAGGAGACUAAAGGAUUUCAAAAGAGUUUGAUCUUUCUUCUUCUUUUCUUCUAAAAAGUCAUGCCUUUUUCUCUCUAUCCCCUUUCCUCAUUGUUUCAGUAAGUUAUGUAAAUUGAGUGUUUAUUAGUUGCUUCUCCUUAAGAAUUAUUUGGUAUAUGUCUUUAAGGAUUAAGAACAACUAAAUAUACAAGAUGGACUAGCAUCCAUGUCAAGUUCAAGAAUUGUUGGUGUUUCUAACUAAUGUGGAGUUCUACCUUUACAUUCUUCAUCAACUUACAACCUCCUAAGAGGAUCAAAGUCUUCAAACGUUGUCGCUUUUUUCCUAUGGCUGUGUUUUAAUCUUUCCAUGCUUUGCAAAAUGAUCUUUCAUGGGUUAAAAUGGUUUUAAGUUUAUUUAAAUCUUAAAAUGUUUCUAUUGCUAAUCUCCUAGUUUUGACACUAUAAUUAGACUAUUUUUUAUAAAUAAAACCCAACAAUUGGUAUCAAAUCCAUUUUUGCAAGCUUGGUUAGAUUAUUAGAUUAUUUGGUAUAACCUUUAUUUUUGGAAAACAUGGAUUGUUUUCUUUUUAUAAGAAAAUUCCAUAAACACUUUUUGUUACAACUUUAUAAUUGUUAUUUUAUAUGGCAAAAGUUCUAACAUCCAUAAAAUUUUGAAAAUUUUAAAACUUUUAAAUAACUCCAAAAACCAUCAUUCAUUACAAAUUUCUUUCAAAAUAGUUCAACAUUGGGGAAAUCCGAGAAAUCUUAAAACAAUUACAAGGAGGUGCACGAUCACGCCUUCGCCUUCCUGCGAUCCUGAAAUGUACUUGAAACAUAAUCUAAAACUGUAAGCCCGAAGCUUAGUGAGUUUCCCCCAAAAUACCAAUCAUAAUACCAAAACUAGAAUAAUGUCACAAAAAUCAUGCACUCAGAGCCUUCAGCCUGACUGGAACGCCCCCACCGGCCUACAGUCUAUCUGGUACGCUUAUAGAACCUACAUCAUGACUGGUAUGCUACCUUGAGCCUUCAACCUAUUUGGAACGUUCUAUGGGCCUUCGACUUGACUGGUAUGCCCCACUGGCCUUCAGUCUAUCCGGGAUGCCCUGGGUCUGUUGGCCUUCAGCACAAAGCAGGUCCGCCUCAACCAAUCACAUAACCUAUCGACAUAUAAAUAACAAUUAAACAUAUAACCAGAAAAUCAUGCAAACAGACAUAUCUUAUAGAUCACUAAGUAUAUCAUUAUUCUAUUAUCAGGAUACAUAUCUAACAGGUCACUAUAAUACUCACACAUGCAAUAAUCAGGAUAACAAUCCAAAAGGGUCGACCUUGGUGCCUUCGACCCAACAAGUAUAGUGAGGAACACUCACCUCACAAGUAGCUGAACUGAUAAGAUCUAACUCCGGAUCCCAACUCCCGAAUCAAAGCCUAAAAGCAACAUGACCAACCCAUCAAAACCUUAAAUCCCCAAAAUGCUUUUAAAUCCCCAAAACGAGUUGGUUAACCAUGGUCAAAGUCGAGGUCAACAAUCCAUGUUGACCCAACUCGUCGAGUGCACCUACUAACUCGUCGAGUUCCUUUAGUACUUAGAGAAAUAGGGAAAACUUGAGCCAACUCGCCGAGUUAUCAGGACAACUCAUCGAGUUCCUACAGUAUCCAAAAUAGCAGGAAAACUGAAGCCAACUCGCCGAGUUGUCAGAACAACUCGUCGAGUUUUCCCAACUUAACUCAUACAGUCCUUUUUUGUCCCUUCCAACGCCCAAGAAUGCAGAUCUAGAACCCAAGAGCUGGAACGCCAUGUAAAGUUGCUAACUUUACGUCCAUGCAUGACACAAGGAGGCUAAAACACUCAAAGAAGGCCUAACGAGGGUCUAAAGCAUAAAGGGGGCCCUAUAACAUGAUAAAGCUUGAAGCUUUAAGCCCAAAGAGGCCACAAGGCAUCUAGAUCUGAAGUGACAACUUCAAUAAAUGGCCAAACCCAAGAAUGACUCCAGUAUGAGCCAAAAAUGACAAUAAACUUCCAAAGGGGAAGAUCUAUGCAAUAAAUGAUCAAGGUAUCGACUUUUUACCUCAAAUUGGUUGCAGAUACAGAGAAGAUUUUGGAUCUACAACCUUCCUCUCAAUCAAACCUCUUCAAACUCCAAGCUCCUUCAAAAGAUCACCAAAAAUUCACUCUUUAAGCUCACACAUACAAAAAGGAGAGAAUGCACGAAUUAGGGUUUCAUAAUCAACCACCAUCUUGUCGAGUUGGUCCAAAAAGUAUGUGCGACCCAAGAGCUUCCAACACGUCUAGUUGAGGCCAUCAACUCGACGAGUUCCAAAGGGAAAUUUGUCUUUUAAGCCAUAAAUAUCAUACCUGGGAGUUGGGAUGUUACAACUCUCCCCCACUUGAUCUAGGCUUCGUCGUCGAAGCUUGUUGCGGUGAACACAUUCGGAUAAUGCUCCCAAUGAAUUAAUGGUGCAUUGAAAUUUUUUAGUCUGAAACUAGGAAUUGACGGAGAAACACUUCAUGUUUCACUAUGCCUCAUUAUAAUGUUCAAAAUCUUAUAAUUCAUUCUUUUGCGAGAUCUUAAUGAAACUGGUCUUUUUGUAAAUCGUUUAUUCCAAAUGGAUCCAUAUUUUAUUUUCUGAGUUAUGAGAUUUAUGGCUGAGCAUUUUCUAUCCUUUUGUCACUUCUAUCUUACUAAGUCAUUAAUUGAAUAGUUCAACCAAUCAUUCAAGGUUUCUCUCUCAUACCCCCAGUCGGCGGUGGAAACGCCAAGACUUGCAACAUUAGAAUAUUGGAUUACAAAUGUUGAACAUACAUUGCAAAAUACAAUGUAUAACAUAAUUAUUGAAUAUCUCAUUACCAGAAAUCGGGGUUACAUUAGUUCAAAUGCUUUGAACAUUAAGCUUACAUAGUACAACAUAUUACUAGUCUAUAUCCUUGCGUCUUGAUCUCCUGUAAUUGUAACAACGUAAAUUUUCAAAGUAAUUUCUCCAUUUCAAAAUAUAAUAAAAAUUCAUAUAUAAUAUCAAAAUCCGUGUAUCAACAUCAUCUCGAUAAAGAAAUCCCAAGAUCUUAAUGUAAAUAAAACUCCAUCCGUGUGUACGGUCAUGCCGGCGCCUUCCCGCGAUCCUCACUGGUACCUGAAACACAUAACACACAACACGGUAAGCAUAAAUGCUUAGUGAGUUCCCCAAAAUACCACACACAACACAUACGCCACUCAAGGAUACCGUAUGACCCUCCGGUCGAUGUGUCUCAGCGUGACCCUCCAGUCCUGUAGCUCGUUGGACCCUCUGGUCCGGUCAUAGCUCGUUGGACCCUUCGGUCCGAUUUGUAUCGUUGGACCCUUCGGUCCGGUCUAUAUCGUUGGACCCUCCGGUCCGGUCUAUAUAACACAUAGCAUACAUAUAUCACAAUGCACAUAAUCUCAUACAUACACAUAGCACACAAGACCCUCCGGUCUACACAUAGAUACCACUCUAGGUAAUGUAUAGUGAGAAGACUCAACUCGAGUAACUCGGAUAAUCUCGCACACGAAUAUGCUGAUCUAGCCCCCGCAUAAUCACAUAUCAAUAUCCUCAAAUAAAUAAUGGCUCUCAAAGGCUAGAUUAAAUCCCUUCCUAUAAUCCCACAGAAGGGUAAAAGACCAUUUUACCCCUCCUUGACCCAAAAGUCCAAAUGUUGACUAAAACCCUAAAAGUCAACGAAAGUCAACAGGGGCAGUACGCGGGGCGUACCAACUCGUGUACGCGGGGUGUAAUCCGGCUAACCAAAAUCGGGGGAUAAGACCCAUUACGCGACGCGUAAUGGGAUUAUGCCCAACGUAAGUCCCAGUUACCCAUUCUCAAAAGUUUUGGUCUGAAUCGAUUAAGACAAUGGUUCAUAUCAUAGAUCUAGGCACUCUACUGCCUCCUAAACCAUAAAGUCGAAACCUUUAGGCCUUUGCAUGGCUAAAAAGGUUACAACUUCUUCCAAACUCUUAUCCCCUUUCCCCAUUAAGACCAAAACCCAUGCAUGACUCCAUCAUGACGACCAAGAUUGGAUUUUUAUGAACCUACAACUCAUAUUACUCUGAAAUAUGGCAGAUCUAAGCUUAUGGAGACCAUUUGCUCAUAAAGUCUCCACCUUGGGACCAAAAACCCUAAAAAUUGGUCCAUGAAGCACAAAACAAAAAUGACAAGGAAAGCUUUGAGCUUUUUACCUCCAAGUGAAGCUCUUCCCUCUGUAGAACUCAAAUCCAGGCUUGUACUCCAACUUCUAGCCUCCACAAGAACCUCCUCUUCUUCUUCACUAACACACAAAGGCACUUUCUAGCUCAAGAACACUCACACACUAGCUUUAGAAUGAUAAUAUUGCUCUCCUAGGGUUUUUCUCUGUGGAAUGGUGGUUGGGGACAAGACCAUAUCAUUGCUUUUAUAGUCCACAAGCCACAAUUAGGGUUUGCAUCUUGGCCCGCUACGCCCAGCGUACCUAGGCAAGUCUCGUCCAAACUAAGAGCAUGAGUACAUGCAGCGUACUCUUCAGUACGCCCAAUGUACUCAAUGGCCAUAUUUUUCCUUUAGGCGCUAAACUUGACAACUUGGAAAGGAAGAAGGGUUAAAUAAAUAUACCUGAAUUCCGGGAUGUUACAAUUCUCUUCCACUAGAACCAGACUUUUACCUCAAAGUCUCAUGCCGUAAACAACCUCGGAUGCUGGUCCCGCAUCUCUGACUCCGACCCCAAGUCAGCUCGGACCCUCUCCGAUGUUGCCACUGGACCUGAACCAGGGGCACCUCCUUGUUCCUCAGAACCAUGAUCAUUCGAUCCACAAUCGUGAUUGGCCUCUCAACAUAAUUCAUCGUCGCAUCCACCUGAAUGUCCUCCAGUGGUACAACUGUCGUCUCGUCGGCAAUACACUUCCUCAACUGAGACACGUAGAAGGUAUCAUGUAUCUGACUCAACACUGCAGGUAGCUCCAAACGAUAUGCUACCCUGCCCACCCUAGCGGUCACCAUGAAAGGACCAAUGUACCGGGGUCCCAGCUUGCCCCUUUUCUAGAAUCAGAUCACUCCCUCCAAGGAGAUACCUUCAGGAGUACGAAGUCUCCCACCUGGAACUCGAGCUCGGACCGUCGCCUAUCUAGAUAAAUCUUCUGACGACUUUGAGUUGUUAACAACCUCUGUCUGACCUGCUGUAUCUGCUCUGUCGUCUGAAGCACUAUCUCAGUGUUGCCCAUCACUCGUUGCCCUACCUCCCCUAGUAGAUGGGAGUCCGAUACCUCCUCCCAUACAACAACUCGAAGGGAGGCAUACGGAUACUCGAAUGGUGGCUGUUGUUAUAGGAAAACUUAGCCAACGGUAAAUACGUGUCCCAACUUCCUCCAAAGUCCAACACACAUGCUCAAAGCAUGUCCUCGAGCGUCAAAAUUGUCCGCUCACUCUGUCCGUCCGUCUGUGGGUGGUAAGAGGUACUGAAAUGCAGCCUCGUGCCCAACUCCUCAUGGAACUUCUUCGAAAACCUGGAAGUGAAACGUACAUCUCGAUCUGACACAAUCGAUAUCGGUACUCCAUGCCACGAUAUCACCUCCCUCACAUACAACUCUUCCAGUCUCUCUUUUGAAAAGCUCUCACUAAUAGCAAGGAAGGGAGCGCUCUUCGUCAGUCGGUAGAUGAUCACCCAAAUUGCAUCGACACCCCUCGCGGUACUUGGCAAUUUGGUGAUAAAGUCCAUAGAAAUUUGUUCCCACUUCCACUGGGGAACCUCAAGUGGCUGCAACUUGCCAUGAGGACGCUGGUGCUCGGCCUUAUCCCUGAGAUAGGUCAAGCACCUCUUAACGAACCACGCAACAUCCCUCUUCAUACAUGGCCACCAAUAGUCUCUUUCAGGUCCAAAUACAUCUUAGUGGCCCCGGGAUGGAUCAAGAAUCUCGACUUGUGCGCCUCCUCCAUCAGAAUGGUACGUGCCCCGCCCGCAAACGACACCCAAAUCCGACCCUAAAAGGUCAUAAGCCCUCGGCUAUCGGUAACGAACUCAGAUACCUGCCCGAUCACCCGCUCUCUCUUGCUGUUCUCCGGUCUCACGGCCUCUGCCUGGGCCUCCCGAAUGGUGUCCAACACCGGAGUCAUCACCGUCAUCCUCAUACAAACGCCUCAUAUCGGGGUAAUCUCCGCCCUACGGCUCAGGGCAUCGGCUACAACGUUAGCCUUUCCCGGGUGGUACAGGAUCUCACAAUCAUAAUCCUUUACCACAUCCAACCAUCUCCUUUGGCUCAUAUUCAGGUUGGGCUGAUCCAUCAAAUACUUCAAGCUCUUGUGGUCCGUGUAUAUGGUACACUGAACCCCGUACAAAUAGUGACGCCAGAUCUUGAGGGCGAACACCACUCCCCCACAACUACAGAUCGUGGGUGGGAUACCUCGUCUCAUGAGGCUUCAGCUGCCUUGAUGCGUAUGCUAUCACGUGCCCUCUCUACAUCAGCACCGCACCUAACCCCGAUAUCGAUGCGUCAGAAUACACCAAAAAAUCCUCCAUCCCCUCCGGAAGGGAUAACACCAGGGCUUCGCAUAACCUCUAGCAAAGUGUCUCGAAUGAGGCCAGCUGCUCAGGACCCCAACUAAAAGCCACGCCCUUCCGGGUGAACCUGGUGAGAGGAACGACAAUCUUGGAGAAGUCCCUGAUAAAUCUCCGAUAAUAGCCAGCCAACCCCAAAAAACUCUUGAUCUCGGUGGGGGAUCUUGGCACCUCCCAAAUCAUCACAACCUCAAUCUUGGCCAGAUCGACCAAUAUCCCAUUCUGGUUGACGAGAUGCCCAAAGAACUGGACCUAUUGUAACCAGAAAUUGCACUUGGAGAAUUUGGCGUAAAGCCUCUCCGAUCUCAAAACUCUGAGGAUCUCCCUCAAAUGCUCUUCAUGCUGCUCUCUAGAUCUCGAAUACACCAAUAUAUCAUCGAUGAACACGAUCACCGAACGAUCCAACAUCGGCCUGUACACCCUGUUCAUGAGAUCCAUGAAUGCCGCCGGUGCAUUGGUGAGCCCAAAAGGCAUCACCACGAACUCGCAAUGCCCAUAACGAGUUCUGAACGUCGUCUUCUGGAUAUCCUUAUCCCACACUCUCAUCUGAUGAUAUCCAAACCUCAAAUCAAUCUUGGAGAACCAAGACGCUCCCUGCAACUGAUUGAAUAGACCAUCGAUCCUCGGUAAGGGGUAACGGUUCUUGACCGUCAACUUAUUCAACUCCCGGUAAUCAAUGCACAUCUGGUGUGAACCAUCCUUUUUCUUGACAAAAAGGAUCGGCGCUCCCCACGGCAAGCUACUCGGUCGAAUAAAUCCCUUCCCCAACAGCUCCUGAAGCUGCGAGGAUAACUCCUGCAUCUCUGGCGGCGCAAGGCGAUAGGGUGCCUUGGCAAUAGGUGCCGCUCCCGGAACUAAAUCGAUGCGAAAAUCCACUUGCCUCUCGGGAGGCACACCCGGCAACUCCUCGGGGAAAACGUCUGGGAACUCUCGCACUAUCUGUACAUCAUCGAACGAAUUCAACCUCUCCACGGCCACUCGUGUGUCCACCACAUAGGCCACAAACCUACUACAGCCCUGCUGCAGACUCUGCCUCGCUCUAGCAGCCGAACAGAACGUUGACCCGGAAUGGGUACCCUCGUCGUACACCGUAAGAACUCCCCCACUAGGUUCUCGUAUGGUCACCAGUUGUCGCUCGCAGUCGAUAACUGCUCCAAAUCUGCUCAGCCAGUCCAUGCCCACGAUGAUACAGACAUCCCCUGUAACGCCCGUAGAUUAGGGCUAGUCAAUUUAGAGACGAUAAGCAUCAAAAAUGAAUUUUUGAUGGAAGAUUAUUUAGAAGGAUUAAUCUUAACCAAGUUGUAGUAUAUGUCACAAGGUUUCCGUGCAUAUAAAGAACGCCAAAAUCCGAGUUAUAACGAAGAAGUUAUGACCUGUCGAAGUUUCGCGACAGAACCGGCACGACCCAGUGCGACGUAAAUAGUGAACUUAAGGUAGAUAGAUGUCUAUCCUUAGUGAUCUAAACAAGAUUUGAAGACUUCUUCGAUAGUAGUCCAACGAUAAAAAGACAGACAAAAACGGAGUUCAGAUGAAGGAGUUAUGAAUUUCGAACGGAGUUUUCCUGUCCCGGCUUACUAAAGAUAAUAUAUAAGUAAUAUAAUUAUAGUAUAUUAAAAAUAAAGUCAAAAUUAGCCAAUGGAGUCGAAACGAGAGUUGUAGAGCAUAAUCUCACCUUCGCGUCGAUAUAAAGAACGUCGAAAACGGAGUUCGUAUGCGAAAGUUAUGAAUUUCAGAAGUUCAGGGCACGAAACCCCAAAAAUGUUAGAGACCACGAUGUGGCAAGCAGUGCCACGACGUGGCAAGUCUCCUGACACCUCCGGGAGUCCCCCAGAUGCAACUUGCAAUGACGUAUGCAAUGACGACCAAGCCCACGACGUGGAAAAAGGAUCCCACGACGUGGCAAGGGCCAAAUGUGCCCUAUAAAUAGAUUUGAAGGGCCAGCCGACUAUGGUUGCUCCAUCCCUUCUCUCCCACUCCCGAUACACCCUCUAAGCCCUAUUUUAACCCCCCGAAGCCCCGGUAUCAACCCCGAGACCCGAAGCAAGUCCCGAAGCCCCAAGAUCCCGAGAAGAAAAGAGUUUCCGAGCCGAAGCUCUGCCCGCGAGAAACCCGGUGUGUGAAGUGAUCCCGGUUUCACCGAAGAAUAUCUACUUGAAGAGCCGUAGUGCUGUCCGAUCAUCUUCUGAUCAAGUGAGUGUAUAGUCCCUUUCAUAAACACGAUUAUAAUACAAGUAUUGUUUGAAUGUAUUAAGUAUAUGUUUGGUGUGAGUGUAUAGUCACUUUCAUCUUACACAUAGAUAUGAAGUAUUUUAUAAAAUACGUGCUAUGUGUAUAUAUAUAGUUGUUUAUAUGUGUGAGUGUGUGGUCACUUUCUUCUAACACAUAAAUAUUAAGUAUUUGCUAUGAAAUACGUGCUAUGUGUUUAUAUAUUGUUGUUUAUUUGAGAUGUUGGUGGAAUACAUGAACUAUAUAGGUUUUAAUGAGUUAAACUGUAUAUUUAUUUUGUAACUACAAAUAUGUUGGGUAGGACAUGGGUAGAUGAGAUCCGUGAGUAUGGAUCAGAUCAAGAGGUUAGUUUUAGAUCCGUGAGUAGGGAUCAGAUCAAGAGGUUAGUUUUAGAUCCGUGAGUAUGGAUCAGGUAAAGAGAUAAACUUGCUAUUAGUCCGGGAGUAUGGAUUAAGACUAAGUUAAUUGUCCCUAGUCCGGGAGUAUGGAUUGGGCACAGUUAUAGAUCCGGGAGUAUGGAUCAGAUAAGGAUUAAGAUUAAGAUAAUUGUCCCUAGUCCGGGAGUAUGGAUUGGGCACAGUUAUAGAUCCGGGAGUAUGGAUCAGAUCAGGAUUAAGGUAUAGUUAAUUGUCCCUAUUCCGGGAGUAUGGAUUGGGUACAAUUAUUGAUCCGGGAGUAUGGAUCAGAUCAGGAGGUUAGUUUUAGAUCCGUGAGUAUGGAUCAGGUAGUUUUAGAUCCGUGAGUAUGGAUCAGGUGAAAAGGUUAGUUUUAGAUCCGUGAGUAUGGAUCGGGUGAAGAGGAUAGUUUUAGAUCCGUGAGUAAGGAUCAGGUAAAGAGGUAAAUUUUAGAUACGAGAGUUUAGAUCGUGUCGUUGUGAGGAUCGAUGGGGUGGGAUAAGAGUUGCCUUUAUAUGGUGAAAUUGUACAAGUUUGAAUGUUCUAUAUUUAUAAAUAUAUGAUAUAACAUUGUGGGAUGAAAACCCUAUAUGCUCACCAGGCUCCCAAGCCUGACCCACUCAGUUUUCUUUGUAUCACAGGUAUCAAUACGAAGACAUAUUUCACAGAGAGAUUUAAAGGAGAUAUAAAUCAAUUGUGUAAUUAAAUGUAAGUUCUGUUUAUGCUUAUAUGUCUGUAUCGGAACAUGACAUCCCGAGGUUUUAUUAUUAAAUGAAAAUAAAUUCUCUUUGAGAAAUGUUUUGAUAAGUUAUUAUCAUAUUUUGUUUUGGGAACAAAUUCCGCAACCGUUUUCUUUAAAAGAUUACUCUGAUUUUAUAAAACAAAGCAUAAACAAAUCGGUCUUUUCUGGCCGUGAAAAUGGGGAUGUCACAGUUGGUAUCAGAGCAUUAGUUUAAGCGAACUAGGAAUUUGUAGGAAAUUUCUAGACUUAAACUUAGAAUGCUAAGUAAUGAUUGUGAGGAGUGUGUCUAAAAUAUGUUAGGUAGUACACCUAAAUUGACACAAGCACUAGUUCAUUUUAGGAAUGAUGCCUAAAAUGCUUUUAUGUGCUAAAUGUUUUGUGUGAUAGCUAUAUUGAUGCUAUUAUUUGUUCGGAUCUAUGGUCUGUUGCCGACCGGAUCUGGAAACCUUAUGUGUUUAGGAUUCUAAGCGUAUGACUACGAUAUUAGAACUAGCAUGUAAACGUUUCGGAGUGAUAAGGAGAUUUAUACGUUUAUCGUAAUUAAAGCUUUCUUAUCUUAAAAUUCUCGCUUGGUACACCGAAUGUCUGCUUGGAUGUACAAGAGGUCAUGGUGAAGACUCGUAGAGAAAUUGAGUAAAUGGAGGAAAUGAAGAAGGCUUAUGAUAGUGGAUGACACCUAUCAGAAGAUAUCAUAAGCGUGGUAUCUUGCCUUUACAGUAUGUCUUAUGAAAUAAAAGUACGUUUAGAGGAGUACGGUACGUCUGAAGUACACCUUCGAUUGGCAGGAUGAUGGAACGAUUGGUGAAAUUCUCGAAGUUGUCUCAUCGUCUUGUAUUUCCAUCACCAAUCGAGUUGAAGUAGAGUUGAUGAUUGAAGAUUGAGCAAUGAAGAAGUCCUAGUAGAGUCUAGGGAAAUUGUUUAUGAUUAUUUGGACACAUUCGUAUGUGUUAAAUUGUUUUGUGAUUUUCUUGUAUGGUGACUUGGUCGACUGCGGGACAAUACUUGGGACGAGUAUGAGUAGGUGUGAAAGGUAGUAGAUGCAUAUACUACCGGAAGCACAGGACUCACACUUGGAUCAGGGAAAGUCACAAGGUUACCAAGAAGCUAGUGAUUGAUUCCGUUUUAUUCGGAUAUGUCAUUACCCUUGUUUCGGUAAUUACUAGUAAGAUGGUUGUUAUGCCGACCCUAGUGGUCAUAUCAAAUUGAGUCCGAAUACGAUGAGUUUGUUAUGUGGUUCAUAGAACCAAGUUCGAGGUAGCAUCUGACUCAAGUCAGAAGAUUGAAAUUAAUGUGAUCGAUAGCAUCACGCUCGUUGUUAAUGAAGCUUGUAGCUAGAAAUGCUACAUGUUGAAAUGUGAUUAUAUCACAUUAGAAUAUGAAGGAAGGUAUAUUCCAUUUUGGAAUUUGACUCUAAGAGACUUGAGUCAAAGCGUUGCAUCAUGUGAUGAGAGGUCAUCAGGACACGACUCAUCGGUCUGUUACAAUAGAUAAAGGAAUGUACUUAUCCUAAGAAGAAAGAAUCCUCAAAAAGGAUUUGUUUUGUAUCUCGAAGGUUAUGAUUGAAAGUCCAACAUAGUACGAAGAGAAGAUGAAGGAUUGAGCAUCAUGGUUAUUAAUUAGGAUGGAGAGAUAAUGUAUGGAGUCAGUAUACAAAUCCUGUUUCGUUGAUGAUUCCGGGACGUAAUCAUCCUAAGGGGGAGAUAAUUGUAACGCCCGUAGAUUAGAGCUAGUCAAUUUAGAGACGAUAAGCAUCAAAAAUGAAUUUUUGAUGGAAGAUUAUUUAGAAGGAUUAAUCUUAACCAAGUUGUAGUAUAUGUCACAAGGUUUCCGUGCAUAUAAAGAAUGCCCAAAUGCGAGUUAUAACGAAGAAGUUAUGACCUGUCGAAGUUUCGCAACAGAACCGGCACUACCCAGCGCGACGUAAAUAGUGAACUUAAGNCUAAAUGAGAAUUGAAGAUCUCAUCGAUAGUAGUGCAACGACGGAAAGACAGACGGAAUCGGAGUUCAGAUGAAGGAGUUAUGAAUUUCGAACGGAGUUUUCCUGUCCCGGCCUACUAAAGAUAAUAUAUAAGUAAUAUACUUAUAAUAUAUUAAAAAUAAAGUCAAAAUUAGCCAAUGGAGUCUAAACGAGAGUUGUAGAGCAUAAUCUCACCUUCGCGUCGAUAUAAAGAACGUCGAAAACGGAGUUCGUAUGCGAAAGUUAUGAAUUUCAGAAGUUCAGGGCGCGAAACCCCAAAACUGUUAGAGACCACGACGUGGCAAGCAGUGCCACGACGUGGCAAGUCUCCUGACACCUCCGGGAGUCCCCCAAAUGCAACUUGUAAUGACGUAUGCAAUGAAGACCAAGCCCACGACUUGGAAAAAGGAUCCCACGACGUGGCAAGGGCCAAAUUUGCCCUAUAAAUAGAUUUGAAGGGUCAGCCGACUAUGGUUGCUCCAUCCCUUCUCUCCCACUCCUGAUACACCCUCUAAGACCUAUUUUAACCUCCCGAAUCCCCGGUAUCAACCCCGAGACCCGAAGCAAGUUCUGAAACCCAAAGAUCCCGAGAAGAAAAGAGUUUCCGAGCCGAAGCUCUGCCCGCGAGAAACCCGGUGUGUGAAGUGAUCCCGGUUUCACCGAAGAAUAUCUACUUGAAGAGCCGUAGUGCUAUCCGAUCAUCUUCUGAUCAAGUGAGUGUAUAGUCCCUUUCAUAAACACGAUUAUAAUACAAGUAUUGUUUGAAUGUAUUAAGUAUAUGUUUGGUGUGAGUGUAUAGUCACUUUCAUCUUACACAUAGAUAUGAAGUAUUUUAUAAAAUACGUGCUAUGUGUAUAUAUAUUGUUGUUUAUAUGUGAGUGUGUGGUUACUUUCUUCUAACACAUAAAUAUUAAGUAUUUGUUAUGAAAUACGUGCUAUGUGUUUAUAUAUUGUUUGUUUAUUUGAGAUGAGUAUGGAAUGGAUGAACUAUAUAGGUUUUAAUGAGUUAAACUGUAUAUAUAUUUUGUAUCUACAAAUAUGUUGGGUAGGACAUGGGUAGAUGAGAUCCGUGAGUAUGGAUCAGAUCAAGAGGUUAGUUUUAUAUCCGUGAGUAUAGAUUAGAUCAAGAGAUUGGAUUUAGAUCCGAGAAUAUGGAAUAGGAAAAGAGAUAAACUUGUUAUUAAUCUGGGAGGAUGGAUUAAGACAUAGUAAAUUGUCCCUAGUCCGGGAGUAUGGAUUGGGCACAGUUUAGAUCCGGGAGUAUGGAUCAGAACAUGAUUUAGGUAUAGUAAAUUGUCCCUAGUCCGGGAGUAUGGAUUGGGCACAGUUUUAGAUCCGGGAGUAUGGAUCAGACCAAUAGGUAAACUUGUUAUUAAUCCAGGAGUAUGGAUUAAGACAUAGUUAAUUGUCCCUAGUCCGGGAGUAUGGAUUGGGCACAGUUUUAGAUCCGGGAGUAUGGAUCAGACCAAGAGAUUAGUUUAGAUCCGGGAGUAUGGAUUAGACCAAUAGGUUAGUUUUAGGUCCGAGAGUGUGGAUCGGGUGGAGAGAUUAAUUUAGAUCCGUGAGUAGGGAUCAGAUAAAGAGGAACAGUUUAGAUACGAGAGUUUAGAUCGUGUCGUUGUGAGGAUCGAUGGGGUGGGAUAAGAGUUGCCUUUAUAUGGUGAAAAUGUACAAGUUUGAAUGUUCUAUAUUUAUAAAUAUAUGAUAUAACAUUGUGGGAUGAAAACCCUAUAUGCUCACCAGGCUCCCAAGCCUGACCCACUCAGUUUUCUUUGUAUCACAGGUAUCGAUACGAAGAUAUAUUUCACAGAGAGAUUAAAGGAGAUGUAAAAUCUUUAGUGUAAAUAAUGUAAGUUCUGUUUAUGNAUGUCUGUAUCGGAACAUUACAUCCCGAGGUUUUAUUAUUAAAUGAAAAUACAUUCUCUUUGAGAAAUGUUUUGAUAAGUUAUUAUCAUAUCUUGUUUUGGGAACAAAUUCCGCAACCGUUUUCUUUAAAAUAUUACUCUGAUUUUAAAAACAAAGCAUAAACAAAUCGGUCUUUUCUGGCCGUGAAAUUGGGGAUGUCACAUCCCCCAUCGCAAUCGGAACCAGAUCAAUCGGGAACUCAACACCGAAGAUCUCGAGUACACCUCCUCGAAUCACAUCAGUGGCAUACAUCGCUUGCUCUUCAGCUAUGGAAACUUGAAGAGGUCGACUCAACGCCUCUCGAUAGAUACUGAUGUGCUGACUAAAUGCUAAAGACACGAAAGAUCGAGUCGCAGCCGAGUCAAAUAACACCAAAGCAGGUACUGAACUCACAAGAAAAGUACUUAUGUCAUAAUAUAAGCACAAUGUCUCAAACUCAAAAUAAAUAGAUGAAAGCGUACAUACCAGCCACGAGAUCGGGUGCUGCGCGGACCUCCUCCGCUGUCAAAUGGAAGGCUCUCUCGCGAGCCUUUAGUGCCUCGGCCUUCACUGGCCGGGUCUUGGUAGCUCUGGCAGCAGGUGCAGAUCCCUGCAGCAGCUGUGGGCACUCGGCCUUCCGAGAAUCCCUUGGGGCAAUCCCUCGCAAAAUGCCCCUCCUUCCCACACUUGUAACAUACCCCGACUCUGCACACCCCCUCAUGGCUCUUGCCGCACCUCCCACAAGUGCGGCCCUUCGGACCCCCAGAUCUCGAAUCAACGGGCUUUGCCCGCUUGGCUGCCGGCUGAGCCUGCGCCGAUCGCCUAUCCCUCAUCUGAGACUCGACCUCCUCCCUGACCUGAGUCUCCAACUCAAUCUCCCGCUUCCGGGCAUUUCCUGGAGCUCAGAAAAUGUCUGGUAUGACGAGUGCGCCACGAACUCACGAAUAUCCCUCCUUAGUAUGCUCAAGUACCGGCUCAUACGUGCCUACUCAGAAGACACGUGCUUAGGGAAAAACAACGCCCUCUCAUGAAACAUCCUCGUAAUCACUGUCACAGACUCAGUUCCCUACUUGAGGGACAAGAACUCUUGGGCUAGACGUUCGCUCUCCACAGGGGGAAUAUACUCAUCUCGAAACAUCGCGGUGAACCUCUCCCAGGUUACCGCAGUAAGCUCUGUAGUAGUGAAGUCCUCCGUCACAAACUUCCACCAGUCCUUCGCCCUCAAGUGAAGUCCUCCGAACCCUCAAAUGCUUCGGACACGAGCAGGUGUAGAAGCAUCCCUCGAUAUCAGAAAUCCAUCUCAUCGCAGCAAUCGGAUCCUGCGUCCCAUCGAACUCUGGUGGCUUGGUGUUGCUGAACUCCCGGUACAACAUCGAGUCACCCCCUGAGGUUUCGCAGCAGCCACAUCCGCAGUAGCUGUAGCAGCUGCAACCUCAGUAACCACUGCUUAUCUCUCGUCAAACGUCUCAAUCAAGGUGGUCUUGAUAAACCCAAACAUCUCCGGUAUCUCUGCGCGGAUAGCCGCCGCCACCUCAUCAUGGAUCAUCUGACGAAGCUCCUCGUCACUCACGCCGCUCGUCUCAGGUCUGUGGCAUGUCCCAACCAUGAUGUCUCUGAAAUACAACAUAAAAAUAUCAGAGACUCGCUCGAGUAUACUCGCACCUGAUAACUCAACCCUACUUGUUCCUUAGCACCCUAAGGAUUCUUACUUGGACUGUGCAAUGAUCCGGUGUCUUCAGUAGUACGGAACCUAUACUACCGUCCACACCGCAACAGUAUUCACCCCAAGUCCUCCUCCUAGGAUCCCAUAUCACAAGUACUCUAAUCUCGCUAUGCAUAGGCUACUCUGCAGCAGACCUCUCGUAAGCUCCUCGUUGCAACCUACUCACUCUCAAGCAUCUCAUAGUAGCAGUAAUCUCCUAGUCUAAGGCAUCACAAAUCAGGACACUCUAGUCCUAAUAUAAAUACCUAGCCUACUCUAGCAUGCAUAACAUAUCAUAUCAUAUCUCAUAACACAUAAUAUGAGGGUAUUUUGGGAAAUCACCGUUCUGGCGCUGGUUGAUCGUACACACUGCUCUGUUCUGCUCGUUUCAAAACCUUUUAUUCUUUUAGAAAAAUUGUUUUACUGUGAAAACUUUCUCAAACCCUCAGUUUGAGUUCAGAUACGUCCGAAGGUGCAUCCGAAUCCCUCAAACCAAGGCUCUGAUACCAACUUGUAACAACGUAAAUUUUCAAAAUAAUUUUUCCAUUUCAAAAUAUAAUAAGAAUUCAUAUAUAAUAUCAAAAUCCGUGUAUCAACAUCAUCUCAA